UGUUCUUGGCGUGACGUCAGGUCCUGUGAAUGCGGCCACGGGAAGCGACGUCAGACGGAGUCGUUUGUGUGUGUGAUGAAUACGCUCUCGUUGUUAUUGAUUUUUUUUUUAUUCGCAUUUACCUGUUGCAGGGAUAACCGCUAUCCUGCACCCGGGAUAAUAAGGACUCCACACCGACGCAGAAUCAGCGGCGAAGCGUCGUAAUGUAUCGCGGGUCUAGGCCGCACAGAGGCGGUUAUCAUCCUCCGCCGUCGCGUGGUUUCGGGCCCCGUGCUGAACCAGGCCACCCUCCCGACCGGAGCCACCACGGACCUCCGGAUCCGUACCGCCGCCCGUCACCGCGGAGGAGAUACUCACCCCCUGGUGAAUACAGAGCAGGACGACCUCAGCGAGGCUACGGGAGAUACACCCCAUCGCCUCCUCGUGGUGGACUCCCCAUUGAUCACAGUCUGGUCAUAACUGUGGGCAAUGAACUGACCCAUCCAUCAGGCUGCACAGGGACUGAAGCUCCUUAUGUCCGAGAUUAUGGUGCUGGAGAAUCACAGUAUAAAAAGCCCUGUUACUCUCCACGGAGGUCAAGCUAUGAUGGACACAGCGAUAGAGGUUCGAGGAGGCGCAGUGUUAGUCGCGGCAGGAGCAGGGGGCGGAGUCGCAGUCCUGGCUACGGGCGCAGCAAAAGUCGCCCACGCAGCCGGAGCAGGAGUCGGAGCUACAGUCGUGGCAAGAGUCCCGAACGAGCGAAGAGCCGUGCGCGUAGCAAGAGCAGAACCCGAGGGAGGAGCUACAGUAGAAGUCGAAGCAGAAGCGGAAGCCGUAGUCGCAGACAGAGUAGGGCAAGGAGCAGGGCACGGAGCAAGAGCCGGCCACGUAGCCGCAGUCGUGAAAGGAGCCGUAGCAGGGGGAGAAGCAGAGGACGGAGUCGCGCUAGGAGCUGGAGCCGCAGCGCCAGUCGUAGUGGUAGCAUUAGCAGCAGCGGCUCCAGUAGGAGUCGCCAAAGCAGCGUCAACAGGAGAGUCAAAUCAGGUAGUUUAAGGAAACAGGAGGACUUUACUGAGCUGGAGAAGGCCAGACGACGUAAAGAAAUUCAGGAUAUGCUUGUACAGCCUGCAAAGUCAAUUUUGAAGAAAAGAAUGGAUUCCUCUGAGACAGAUUCUCCAAUGCUAGUGCAGAAUAGUGAUUCCCCUCAAGGAAAUCCAGAUGGUGGUCUUUCACAUGAGGCAGAACAGCUUCUCUGUGCGCUUUCCAAAACCAUGGAUCCAGACUUGUUUGCAUCCAUGCUGGGAAAAAGCUCUGAUGGUAGUGUUCUCGAAGGGCUGAUUGGUAAGAUCCAAUCAGCCAGAGAGGGUGGAAGUGACUUGCUGCUCCCUCAAGAGAAGGGAAGGCAGGAGAAAUCAGAUCUCACGGAGUUCCUUGGAAUGAUAUCAGAGGUCGCCCAACCACAGAAUGUAAAAAAGAGUCAUCCAGAUAUUGAAGAUGAGGAGAAAUUUCUCUAUGGGGAUGAAGAGGAAGAGGGCAGUGAGGUAAAACCAGCAAAUUCCAACUUUCCAGACACAAGUUACACACAGUCUUGUGAUAUUCAGAGAAGAGAAUCUUACACUUUUGGCCAUACUGGAGAACCUGUGAUGAGCCAUUCGCAGAGAGAUGGUAGGCAGGCAGACAGUCAUCGUUCCUCGGCCACACCUGAGGUACAUGCCAAGGAAGAACCUGUUGACUUUCCACCUGGAAUAGGGCCACAGGAUGUAAAUGUAAGGAAGGAGGUAGAGGAAUAUGAGAAGAUACAAGAUUUGCUAAAAACAAUUGGCCUGGACCUGGGCAUGGUUGAGAUAAGCAAGAUGGCAGCUAGGACGCAAGCGCGUCUGCAUGGUAACACCCCUGCGAAGACACCGACUCGUAGGCAGUCAGAUAGAAAGCACCGCAGCCGUAGUAGGAGCUACAGCAGCAGUAGCAGCAGGAGCUCCAGUCGCAGUCAGAGUCGGAGUAGCAGCCGAAGUAGAAGCAAAAGAAGUCGAAGCCGAAGUGGCAGUUUGGAACACACUUCACGUCGCAGCAAGAAAAAGCCAGUUUCCCCAGAACAAAGAUCUCCAUGCUCACAUAGUCAGACCAAGAAAGAGGCUAAACCUGCCAUUGCAGAAAGCGGCUGGCCUUCCACACCCACUGUGGGUCCUGGGCCACAGACGUAUCCCUCCAGACCCAGCCUCCCGGCACAUCCCAUGCCCCCAUACCCCGGGCCACCCCCACGUGGGGUAAUGCCACCUGACUACCCACCAGGACGUUACGAUCCAUAUGGCAAUUAUGUUCCAUAUAUGCCUCCGGGAUGGCCGAUGUACCCACCUCCAGGUAUGCCAGUACCUCCUCCCAGUCCAGUGGAUCCCUACAGCCUCCCUAACAUUGAGCGACCCUUUCUUAAAGUGAUCAAAACUGUGCAGAGUGAGAGUAAAGAUGACGAUCCAAAAGCACCCCCUAAAUCGGAUCCUGUGGCCACUAAAGCAAUCACCAGUGGGAUUCAGAGGAAAGAAAUGGAAGAUAAGAAUACUGCUAGCCAAAAACAGAAGGUCACGGAAGAGCUUGAAAAGCUAAAAAAGGAGAAAGAAGUGCGACACAAGAGGAAAGAAAAUCUCUUAAAGGAUGUGGAAACAUUGAGAAAGCAGCAAGGGGAGCUUCUUCGAAAGAAGCGAAGAGAGAAGGAUGGACACAAGGACCCUGUCCUUAUUGAGCUCGGUCAGCUCCAAGAGGAUGCAAUGGCCCAAAUCUCCAAAUUGCGUGCUGAACAGAGAGAGGCAGAUAAAAAAUAUGAAGAGCUGGUCAAAGUGGCUCUUAUUCUUGGUAUAGACUACAAAGACUCGAAGAUCUCAGGGGACCAUGGGCAGCAACCCCUUCAGAGUAAGAAGGAGUCAACCAGAAGCCCAGAGAAAUCAGGGGCCAAAACCAGCACCUCAUACAAUAAGGUAGCAUCCUCAAAAUCAAGACCGUCUCCUGAAAAACCUCCUCCAUCGAUCAGCCACUCUCUGGACACUGCUGCCGAGCAGUUUGAGUACUACGACGCAGGAAACCACUGGUGUAAAAACUGCAAUGUUACCAGUGGUUCAAUGUUUGAUUAUUUCAUGCAUAUGCACAGCAAAACCCAUAGGAAGACUCUAGAUCCUUAUGACAGACCUUGGGCAAAAUCACAGAGUGAAAAGAAACCCCCAGCUGGAAAGAGGACAUCCAAGCCAGCCAAAGGCUCUGAGUUCUUGAUCCCUGUAAGGGGAUUCUUCUGCCAGUUAUGUGAGGAGUUUUUUGGUGAUCCCAUUUGUGCUGAGGCCCAUGUUACCUGCCAUGCUCACAAUGAGAGAUACAAGGCAAAAAUUUAUGAAAAUCCUCUCUAUGAACAAAGGAGGAACCUGGACCGUCAGGCUGGCUUAGGGAGCCAAAAGAGUUCAGAUCACAAGCGAAAACAUGAAGACAACGAAAAGGAUGAUAUGAAGAAAUCUAAAAAGGAUAAAGGAAACAACAAAGGAAAAAUGUCAAGUAAUGAAGUGGAGACAAAACCACAGUACAGCAAGGAAGAAGAGUAUAAGAAUGUCAAAGAGAAUGAGAAUAAACUCAAGGAGAAAUACAAGAAAGAGGAUAUAGAUAAACAAAAAUACAAGGAGGAUGACGAGAGAGCCAAAAUAAAGGAAGAGGAGGAGAGAGCUAGGUACAAAAAAGAAGAUAAUGAGCGAAACCGCUUCAGAAAAGAAGAGGAAUACACACAUAGGUACAGGAAGGAGGAAGGGGAGAGAACAAGGUAUGAAGAGGACCGAUUUAGAAACAGAGAUGAUGAUGAACACUAUCGAUAUAAACAAGAGGAUGACAGAUAUAGAUUUAGAAAGGAUGAUGAUAGGGGCCGAUAUGGUAGAGAAGAGGAAAAGCCCAAGUAUGGCAGAGAAGAGGAUAAGAAAUACAAAUACACUCGGGAGGCUGAAGAGAAGAAGUCAAAGUACAAAGAUGAGGACUUGGGGAAGUGGCCGAAAUCAAAGUGGGAUGAGGACCAAGAGAGUAAUGGGAAGUAUGAAAAAAAGGAAGAUAAAGCUCAGCACCAGAAGGGCAAGGCUGGUUAUUCCAAAGAUGACAAGGAGAGCAUAGGUAAGUCCAAUGCUAAAGAUGGCAAAUCAGAACCAGAGAAGCCUAGCGAGCCUCCUAAAGUCUUAUGUGGCCCAAGUCCCGCCUUGCUUGCUAAACUUCGCAAGAAGAACGAGGAAGCUGCUGGUCGGUUUGGCUUUGGAAAGUUUGGUCUGAAAAAGCCACAGAAGACUGCACUUGAGAAGGAGGCAGAGAGGAUGGCGGCGCAAUUCUUAAAGGAAGAGGAAGAGAGUAUGCCUACUGAAACGGCGGAAAACACGGAUGCUGAGCUAGAUCCUUUUUCCAAGUCUAUAGCUGCUGCAAAAUCCAUUGCUAUCAAAUUGUCAGGAAAGGCUGUGCUUCCCCCUUCAGGUGAAUGGCUAGCAUACAACGAAAAUAAAACUAAUCCUAGUUUGCCUCCUCCCCUAGCUCCCAUGGUUAUUAGGAAGUCUUACAGAGGCGUGCAAAAUAAACCAACACCAUCUGCUGACAAAUCUCCUGCACCUGUAACAGGAACUCAGAAGGGUCCAGCGUUGUCAGCAGACCUCAUCUCUAAGGCAUUUAGUGGAGAAGAGGUGAAAUUAAAACAAACAAAGGACACCUCUGCAAAGCCUGUUGAUAUCUUCCACAAACCUGUACCACUUCAGUCUCCCACUGCGGCUCCAAAAAUUGUAAAUUCCAACCAGAUGAAACCUGUUACUCCCAGUCAGUGUGUUAUUACUCUCGAGUCUGAUGUGGCUGCUCCUGGAGUGCCUGAGGAUGAGCAGAAACUCACCGUAAUCCUUCGUCCUCCUCCACAGCUUUCUUUUAAUGCCAGAGACCCACCCCCCAAAACUGUAAAGCCAAAGACAACCCUUGCAGCAGGAAAAGCAAAAGACUUGUUUGACAUUUUUUACAGUGGCAGCGCUGCGGUUAAAUCCUCUGUCAGUGCCAGUGUUGGCGACAAAAAAACCUCUGGAUUUGCUCCACAAGACAGUGGUUCAACCUGCAAAGAGUCCAACAAUAAAUACAAAAAUGCUAGUGAUGUUUUCCAGAGCCAAGAACUUCUCAAGAACGAGGACUCAAAAGUUCCCCUGAGAGGAGAACCUCUCAAAAAUGAGGACUCAAAAAUUGCCUUGAGUGAAGAACCUCUCAAGAAUGAGGAGUCUGAAGUUGUCCUGGGAGAAGUACCUCUCAAAAAUGAGGACUCAAAAGUUGCCUUGAGAGAAGAACCUCUCAAGAGUGAGGACUUAAAAGUUGCCUUGAGAGAAGAACCUCUCAAGUACGAGGAGUCUGAAGUUGCCUUGAGAGAAGAACUUCUCAAGAGUGAGGACUUAAAAGUUGCCCAAAAAGAACCCCCCAAGAACGAAAAAUCUAAUGUUGCCCAGAGAGAAGAAUCUCCCAAAAACGAAGACUCAGAAGUUGCCCAGAGAGAAGAACCCCCCAAGAAUGAGGACUCAGGAUUUGAACAAGCCUUUGAAGACGCCAUCUUAAAACCUGACCUUCAAAAUGAAGAUGCAAAAGAGGAAGAUUUUGAUGAUCAACAAGUGCUUAAAUCUUUUGAAAUCUCUGUGGGGGAUAUAACUGUGAUGGAAGUAGAUAGUCAGGAUACAAUGCAGACAAAUAACGAAGAGGAAAACCCUCUGGAAUCUGAGGAACCCAUGUCUUUCUCCCCUCUUCCUGGUUCUUUCACUGAGCAACUGAACUUGGACACAUUUGAAUUCAAUUUUGAGCCUUUGUAAAAGACCUUCCAUGAGUAGGUUUAGGGAUUGUACAUGUUACCUCUGAAUGUAAAUAAGUGAUUUUGAAAUAUUCUUUGUAUUUGCUUUGUCCAGUUAGAAUGUUUCAUGUCUAUUCUUAACCUUUUGGCAGGUAAUGCCAGUGAAAACGUGGACUGAAAAGCAUUCAUUCUGAAGUGGGUGCUGGGGAAGGAAUCCCUCUAAGAGAAUGAGAGCUUUCAUCUAGUAAUGAAUCCUUAAUAUGUGUAAAAGUUUCACUAUCUUGUCAAAAGCACCCGGUGUUGAGCUACUUGUUUCCUUAUUUUUUUUCCAGCAGAAACCAUUCCUUUUUCCCAAAGGAGCCAGAAAGAUCCAGGCUCAGAGAAGAGAAAUGGUGUGGAGUUCAUGCUUCAAGGACAUGUGCGUUCACAACUCUGAACAGAAAAUAUCAGGCUUGGCCUCCAUAGGUUUUGAUGGCUUUUCUUUCCAGUUUAAAAUUUUUAAAGGAAUCAAUGUUGUAUUAUAAUGUUAACAUUGCUACCAUGCUACUUUAGCAUCUACAGAUAGUUGGUGUAAUUGCACACGUUCUGUGCUAGCUCAAAUAAAUCACAGCAACCUUUUCUGUC